AGCAGUCGCCGCGGUAAUACAGAGGGUGCGAGCGUUAAUCGGAUUUACUGGGCGUAAAGCGUGCGCAGGCGGUUCGCUAAGACAGAUGUGAAAUCCCCGGGCUUAACCUGGGAACUGCAUUUGUGACUGGCGGGCUAGAGUAUGGCAGAGGGGGGUAGAAUUCCACGUGUAGCAGUGAAAUGCGUAGAGAUGUGGAGGAAUACCGAUGGCGAAGGCAGCCCCCUGGGCCAAUACUGACGCUCAUGCACGAAAGCGUGGGGAGCAAACAGGAUUAGAUACCCCUGUAGUCCCUGUCUCUUAUAC
rnacentral:rRNA from 1 species